rnacentral:rRNA from 1 species
GAUGAGCGCUGGCGGCGUGCCUAAUACAUGCAAGUCGAGCGAACGGACGAGAAGCUUGCUUCUCUGAUGUUAGCGGCGGACGGGUGAGUAACACGUGGAUAACCUACCUAUAAGACUGGGAUAACUUCGGGAAACCGGAGCUAAUACCGGAUAAUAUUUUGAACCGCAUGGUUCAAAAGUGAAAGACGGUCUUGCUGUCACUUAUAGAUGGAUCCGCGCUGCAUUAGCUAGUUGGUAAGGUAACGGCUUACCAAGGCAACGAUGCAUAGCCGACCUGAGAGGGUGAUCGGCCACACUGGAACUGAGACACGGUCCAGACUCCUACGGGAGGCAGCAGUAGGGAAUCUUCCGCAAUGGGCGAAAGCCUGACGGAGCAACGCCGCGUGAGUGAUGAAGGUCUUCGGAUCGUAAAACCCUGUUAUUAGGGAAGAACAUAUGUGUAAGUAACUGUGCACAUCUUGACGGUACCUAAUCAGAAAGCCACGGCUAACUACGUG